rnacentral:rRNA from 1 species
GAGUUUGAUCAUGGCUCAGAACGAACGCUGGCGGCGUGCUUAACACAUGCAAGUCGAACGCGAAAGGGACUUCGGUCCCGAGUAGAGUGGCGCACGGGUGAGUAACGCGUAAGUAAUCUACCCCUGUAUCUGGAAUAACCCACCGAAAGGUGAGCUAAUACCGGAUACGUUUAUCUUGAUGCGAAUGAUGAUAAAGAAAGGUGGCCUCUUCAUGAAAGCUACCGUACAGGGACGAGCUUGCGUACCAUUAGCUGGUUGGUAGGGUAAUGGCCUACCAAGGCGACGAUGGUUAGCGGGUCUGAGAGGAUGAUCCGCCACACUGGAACUGAAACACGGACCAGACUCCUACGGGAGGCAGCAGUGAGGAAUAUUGCGCAAUGGGGGCAACCCUGACGCAGCGACGCCGCGUGGACGAUGAAGGCCCUUGGGUCGUAAAAUCCUGUCAGAUGGAAAGAAAUGUACAGGUGUUAAUACCGCCUGUAUUUGACGGUACCAUCAAAGGAAGCACCGGCUAACUCCGUGCCAGCAGCCGCGGUAUACCGGAGGGUGCGAGCGUUGUUCGAUUACUGGGCGUAAAGCGCGCGUAGGCGGUUUGC